AGUGAACGCGGCGGCGUGCCUAAUACAUGCAAGUCGAACGGAAUUUAAAAGAGCUUGCUCUUUUAAAUUUAGUGGCGCACGGGUGAGUAAUAUAUAGCUAAUCUGCCCCUUGCUGGAGGACAACAGUUAGAAAUGACUGCUAAUACUCCAUACUCCUUUUUACCAUAAGAUAAAUCGGGAAAGAAUUUCGGCAAGGGAUGAGACUAUAUCGUAUCAGCUAGUCGGUGGGGUAACGGCCUACCGAGGCUAUGACGCGUAACUGGUCUGAGAGGAUGAUCAGUCACAUUGGAACUGAGACACGGUCCAAACUCCUACGGGAGGCAGCAGUAGGGAAUAUUGCGCAAUGGGGGAAACCCUGACGCAGCAACGCCGCGUGGAGGAUGACACU
rnacentral:rRNA from 1 species